rnacentral:SRP_RNA from 1 species
GCCAGGUGUGGUGGUGCGCACCUGUAAUCCCAGCUACUCAGGAGGCUGAGGCAGGAGAAUUGCUUGAACCCAGGAAUGGGGGAUGAGUGAGCAGAGAUCACACUACUGUACUCCAGCCUGGGUGACAGAGCAAGACUCUGUCUCCA